GAUGAACGCUGGCGGCGUGCUUAACACAUGCAAGUCGGACGGGAAGUGGUGGUUCUUGUGGCGGUCGGGUGAGCAACGCGCGGGAGACUGACCUGGGGAGAGGAACCACAACUGGAAGGGGUUGCUAAUAGAAAGUAGGGCGAAGAGCAAAAGACGGAAUCCUCCAGAGGGGGGGCUUGCGUAUGAUGGGCUAGCUGGUGAGGUAAUAGCUGACCAAGGCGAUGAUCAGUAGCCGGUCCGAGAGGAUCAUCAGCCACACUGCGACUGAGCCACGGCCCAGGCUCCUUCGGGAGGCAGCGGUGGGGAAUUCGCCGCAAUGCGCGAAAGCCUGACGGGGCCAUGCCGCGGGGAGGUAGAAGGCUCACGGGUCGUGAACUUCUUUUCUCGCAGAAGACACAAUGACGGUAUCUGAUGAAUAAGCAUCGGCUAACUCCGUG
rnacentral:rRNA from 1 species